rnacentral:pre_miRNA from 1 species
AGGCAAGAUGUUGGCAUAGCUGUAGACCUAAAAACCUGCUAUGCCAACAUAUUGUCAUC